rnacentral:misc_RNA from 1 species
GACUCGCCCGCCGUACCUGUUUGAGCUUGUUGGGGAUACAACACAUAAAUUGCACAACGUUUACAGCCAGAAGGCAAAGAUGUCGGGUCGAGGGGGAAAGAAGAAACAGAAGAUCUUGUCGCGAUCUGCUCGAUCGGGGGUUUUAUUCCCCGUGGCAAGGAUGCUCCGCUACAUGAGACGGGACACACAUCACUUCCGCAUCGGGUCGGGAGCUCCAGUGUACAUGGCGGCUGUCAUUGAGUAUCUGACCGCUGAGAUUCUCGAACUUGCUGGAAAUGCUGCACGUGAUAACAAGAAAAGUCGUGUAACUCCAAGACACAUCCUACUGGCUAUAGCCAAUGACGAGGAGCUGCAUAGAUUACUAAAACAUGUUACAAUUGCCUCUGGUGGAGUGCUGCCGAAGAUCCACCCGGAAUUGAUAGGACGGAAGAAAGGUUCACGUUUCCCCAAUGCGCCUACACCAUUUACCGUUCCAGUAAGCAAAGUUAAAGCAGAUGUCAAAGCCAACUCGCCGAAAACAACAGUGAAGAAAGGAGGCAAAAAAGUAGCCAAUGCCACACCACCUAAACCAUCAUUAGGAAAGAGAACUAGCAGUGCUCGUGAUGGGUCUGAUCUUAAAUCUCUGGGGACAAUCACAGGAGGUUUCACCAUCCUUGGAGAAAAAAAACUAUUUCUAGGUCAAAAGAUGAUGGUGUUACAAGGUGAUAUUGUAAAAGUUACUGCUGAUGCUAUUGUCAAUCCAACCAACUCAAACUAUAACAUGGGAGGUGAAGUAGGUUCAGCACUGCAGAAAGCUGGAGGUAAAGAAUUUCAACAAGAGAUUGAGAAUCUGCAGAACACUAACGGUGCUCUGGACACAUCUGGAGUGGCCAUAUGCCCAAGCCGUAACCUCCAGGCAAAAUUUGUUAUUCAUGUGAACAGUCCCACUUGGGGAUCAGCCAGUUGCCAACCGCAACUGGAGAAGGCUGUGAAGAACAUUCUGUCGCUAGCCGACGAUAAACACCUCAAGACUGUAGCACUUCCAUCUAUUAGUAGUGGGACCGGUGAUGACUUUGGCUCACCAUAUUCCGGCCAAGUUUGUAAUUCACUGCUACGGACCCACGUGGAAGAUGACUAAUGCUCAAGAACUCCUGGAAACCACAGUUAAAAACUGCCUCGUUCUCGCAGACGGGAAGAAUUUAAAAACAGUAGCACUGCCAUCUAUAGGAAGUGGACGAGCUGGAUUUCCGAAGCAGGCAGCAGCUCAGAUUAUUCUCCGAGCAAUCAGCAGUUACUUCACGACAGUCGUAACGAGUUCCCUCAAACAGAUAUACUUCGUCCUCUUUGAUAUGGAGAGUAUCGCGGUGUACACUA